rnacentral:rRNA from 1 species
AGUACAGUAGAGGUGGGCGGAAUUCGUGGUGUAGCGGUGAAAUGCUUAGAUAUCACGAAGAACUCCGAUUGCGAAGGCAGCUCACUGGACUGCAACUGACACUGAUGCUCGAAAGUGUGGGUAUCAAACAGGAUUAGAUACCCCGGUAGUCCACACAGUAAACGAUGAAUACUCGUUGUUUGCGAUAUACAGUAAGCGGCCAAGCGAAAGCAUUAAGUAUUCCACCUGGGGAGUACGCCGGCAACGGUGAAACUCAAAGGAAUUGACGGGGGCCCGCACAAGCGGAGGAACAUGUGGUUUAAUUCGAUGAUACGCGAGGAACCUUACCCGGGCUUAAAUUGCAGUGGAAUGAUGUGGAAACAUGUCAGUGAGCAAUCACCGCUGUGAAGGUGCUGCAUGGUUGUCGUCAGCUCGUGCCGUGAGGUGUCGGCUUAAGUGCCAUAACGAGCGCAACCCUUAUCUUUAGUUACUAACAGGUUAUGCUGAGGACUCUAGAGAGACUGCCGUCGUAAGAUGUGAGGAGGGUGGGGAUGACGUCAAAUCAGCACGGCCCUUACGUCCGGGGCUACACACGUGUUACAAUGGGGGGUACAGAAGGCAGCUAGCGGGUGACCGUAUGCUAAUCCCAAAAGCCUCUCUCAGUUCGGAUCGAAGUCUGCAACCCGACUUCGUGAAGCUGGAUUCGCUAGUAAUCGCGCAUCAGCCACGGCGCGGUGAAUACGUUCCCGGGCCUUGUACACACCGCCCGUCAAGCCAUGGGAGCCGGGGGUACCUGAAGUACGUAACCGCAAGGAUCGUCCUAGGGUAAAACUGGUGACUGGG